AAUACGGAGGGUGCAAGCGUUGUCCGGAUUUAUUGGGUUUAAAGGGUGCGUAGGCGGCCUUAUAAGUCAGUGGUGAAAGCCCAUCGCUCAACGGUGGAACUGCCAUUGAUACUGUAAGGCUUGAGUACAGACGAGGUAGGCGGAAUUGAUGGUGUAGCGGUGAAAUGCAUAGAUACCAUCCAGAACACCGAUUGCGUAGGCAGCUUACUAGGCUGUAACUGACGCUGAGGCACGAAAGCGUGGGGAGCGAACAG
rnacentral:rRNA from 1 species